rnacentral:rRNA from 1 species
AUUGAACGCUGGCGGCAUGCCUUACACAUGCAAGUCGAACGGUAACGCGGGGCAACCUGGCGACGAGUGGCGAACGGGUGAGUAAUACAUCGGAACGUGCCCGAGAGUGGGGGAUAACGAGGCGAAAGCUUUGCUAAUACCGCAUACGAUCUCAGGAUGAAAGCAGGGGACCGCAAGGCCUUGCGCUCACGGAGCGGCCGAUGGCAGAUUAGGUAGUUGGUGGGAUAAAAGCUUACCAAGCCGACGAUCUGUAGCUGGUCUGAGAGGACGACCAGCCACACUGGGACUGAGACACGGCCCAGACUCCUGCGGGAGGCAGCAGUGGGGAAUUUUGGACAAUGGGCGCAAGCCUGAUCCAGCCAUGCCGCGUGCAGGAUGAAGGCCUUCGGGUUGUAAACUGCUUUUGUACGGAACGAAAAGACUCUGGUUAAUACCUGGGGUCCAUGACGGUACCGUAAGAAUAAGCACCGGCUAACUACGUGCCAGCCGCCGCGGUAAAAC